CAGAGGGUGCAAGCGUUAAUCGGAAUUACUGGGCGUAAAGCGUGCGUAGUCGGUUAUUUAAGUCGGGCGUGAAAGCCCCGGGCUCAACCUGGGAAUUGCGUUCGAUACUGGAUAGCUAGAGUUCGGCAGAGGGAAGCGGAAUUUCGGGUGUAGCGGUGAAAUGCGUAGAUAUCCGAAGGAACAUCAGUGGCGAAAGCGGCUUCCUGGACCAGAACUGACGAUCAGGCACGAAAGCGUGGGGAGCAAACAGGAUUAGAUACCCUGGUAGUCCACGCCAUAAACGAUGACAACUAGACGUUGGGAGGGUAAGCCUCACAGUGUCGCAGCUAACGCGUUAAGUUGUCCGCCUGGGGAGUACGGCCGCAAGGUUG
rnacentral:rRNA from 1 species